AGACGGGGACCCGCACAAGCGUGGAUGAUGUGGAUUAAUUCGAUGCAACGCGAAGAACCUUACCUACCCUUGACAUGUCCGGAACUUGCCAGAGAUGGCUUGGUGCCCGAAAGGGAAUCGGAACACAGGUGCUGCAUGGCUGUCAUCAGCUCGUGUCGCGAGAUGUUGGGUUAAGUCCCGCAACGAGCGCAACCCUUAUCAUUAGUUGCUACGCAAGGGCACUCUAAUGAGACUGCCGGUGACAAACCGGAGGAAGGUGGGGAUGACGUCAAGUCCUCAUGGCCCUUAUGGGUAGGGCUUCACACGUCAUACAAUGGUCGGUACAGAGGGUUGCCAAGCCGCGAGGCGGAGCCAAUCCCACAAAGCCGAUCGUAGUCCGGAUUGUUCUCUGCAACUCGAGAGCAUGAAGUCGGAAUCGCUAGUAAUCGCAGGUCAGCAUACUGCGGUGAAUACGUUCCCGGGUCUU
rnacentral:rRNA from 1 species